CCCGCCUCCAGCCAGCAGGCCCCGCCUCCUCCGCUCCUCUCCCUUCGUGGCGGGCGUCCGCGUCUCUGGUCUGGAGAGAAGGCUCCGAAAUCCGUCUGCGCGAAAACAGCGUGGCAGCUGUCCCAUGCCAUAGUCCCAUCACUGGAGAGGCUGAGCCAGCAGCUCCCCAGCGUAGGAGUUCAUUGCCACCCUGCGCAGUAUACUGAGACCCCCACCCAUCUCAGGAAACAGGAGAGCAAGAAAAGAAAGGUGGAAUGUAGAGCCUGCGUGCAGGCCUGACAGCCGAGACUCCUAUGUGUGGAGAAGCCGGCCUGCCAGAGAGGACCUGGGCAGCUCCCUGCUGGCUGCUGGGUCUUUUGGCGUUCAGCAGUCUCAGCCCAGGCACCAGGUUUGUGAGUGGCAGAUGCUCAGAGAGCCCUGGCCCCAGC
rnacentral:lncRNA from 1 species